CAAAGAAGGGAAAUGACUGAAACCAUAGAAAUCAUGAGGGAACAGAAGUUCCUCAUGAGUUAAGUUUAGAAGUAUUGUAGCUACACUAGGAUCCUAGCUGUUGUGUUUAAGAUCUAUAGUUACCUACCUUAAGAAUGAAGAGCAGGAGAGAGAUCCAAGAUAGCCGACAAAAGGGAGGCUGCAUUCCUUGUUGCUCUGUGACUUGGGAUUCAAGCAAUGAGAAUACUGUUUCUCUGUGAGUUAUUAGUGAACUCCCAACAGCUGCUCCCAUGCAGGAAUCCUACCCUCUGUGUCUGCACAGGUCCUUUGGCCUCAGCAUCUGUGCAGGACCCCCGCAUCAGCACACACACACAGGACGCCCUGACUGCCCACCUGUGCAGGAUCCCCAGCUACUGCUCUCACACAGGACCUCCAGCCACCACUCCUGUGUAGGAACCAGGUCGCUGCGCUCAUGUGGACUCCCAUCUACCAACAUUGGGCUGCUAUGGUCAACUCCAUCUUGAGACAUUGCAACUGCUGCCACAGCCCCCAUCAUGCAGAAGCCUACACCUGGGGACAAUGGACAGGGUCUAGAGAGAGUGGCCUGCCACAACAUUGCACGCCAUAGAGCUGCAUCUCUGAACACACUGCCCAAUGCCACCGCCUGGCCCACCUGACACUCAAUCUCUGAAAGUGGCUGCCUCCAUCUAGGGACACCUUUUUCACCAUCUUAGGUUAUCCUUGCAAUCAUCAUCACCAUCUUUAGUUGGGGCAACUUCCAGCUUGGGACAUUAGCUGGGACCUAGAAGCAAUAUCAAGUUACCUAUAGUCCUGCAACUCUCCCUUCUCCCCUACAGCAACUAACCAGGCACAGUGCUUGUAAUUAUGUGGCUAGUCCCUAGCUCACAAAGCCUGGUUCUGAUCUUCCUGAUAGAAAUUAGCUUUCCACUACAGGUGCGCAGACCCAAGAGUGCAGCCCACAAGACCUCUAGAGAGAGAUUUCUGAUGUUAUUUCAUUGAAUACAUUAUUCAUUCCUUGGUUUAUAACUCUAUGCCCUCUACUAUCCCAAUAAUUUUUUUUUUAAAUUUGGUCUUUUUAUGUUUUCCCAUAAUUCUUGGAUAUUUUGCUCAUGGUUUCUUACCAUCUUUACUGUGUUGGUCAGCUUCAUUUUCAAGAUUAUAUAUUUUGACUUCAUUGUCUGAGGUUCUGUCUUCCAAGUGAUCUAAUCUGUUGGGAAUAUUUUCUAUUUAGUUUUUAAUUUGUUUUAUUGUUUCUUUCAUUUCAAUGAUUUCUGUUUGUUUGUUGUUUUCAGAAUAUUUAUCUUCUUAUUGAUAUCAGAUCAUAAUAGAAUGAAAUUAGAAAUCAAUAAUAAAAUAAAAAAUGGAAGUUACCCCAAUACCCGGAGACUAAAUAAUGAUAUUGAAUGAAAGCUUCAUGGAAGAAAGAAGAGAAGGCCUAAAACUCAGAAUUUAGCAUUCUUGGUCCAACUAAUCAUGUGCACAAGUUAGAAAAGGGCAGGUAACUUUGGGUCACAACAUUCAAAAGAAUUCCGUUUCUUUCAUAAUCAUCUUGCCUGGGGUUAUGGAAUUCUCUGAGUUUAGCUCUUAUUUCACUGAAGUUCAGUUUCAGUUUAUAUAUGUUCAGUAGUAGUUGAAAUUCAGAAUUCAAUUUUCUGGAAAACCCAGUUCACAUAAGAGGUAAACAGUUAGAGGCAACUAUAUUAUGUGGGAAUUUAGGAAAGGAGUAAAGGUAGGAUAUCUGGGAAAAGGAAGAUGGAGGGAGAAAUGUAAUGAAGUUUAGAAGAUAGAUUGGAAAGAUAUGGGGAAAUGGGAAAGAACUACAUAAGGAGAGAACUAAAAGAUAGGGAAAAGGUAAAUUUUUUAAAGAGAAAGAGAGAGGGAG
rnacentral:lncRNA from 1 species